rnacentral:rRNA from 1 species
AGCCUGAUGCAGCGACGCCGCGUGGGGGAUGACGGUCUUCGGAUUGUAAACUCCUUUCAGUAGGGACGAAGCGAAAGUGACGGUACCUGCAGAAGAAGCACCGGCCAACUACGUGCCAGCAGCCGCGGUAAUACGUAGGGUGCAAGCGUUGUCCGGAAUUACUGGGCGUAAAGAGCUCGUAGGCGGUUUGUCACGUCGUCUGUGAAAUCCUCCAGCUCAACUGGGGGCGUGCAGGCGAUACGGGCAGACUUGAGUACUACAGGGGAGACUGGAAUUCCUGGUGUAGCGGUGAAAUGCGCAGAUAUCAGGAGGAACACCGGUGGCGAAGGCGGGUCUCUGGGUAGUAACUGACGCUGAGGAGCGAAAGCAUGGGGAGCAAACAGGAUUAGAUACCCUGGUAGUCCAUGCCGUAAACGGUGGGCGCUAGGUGUGGGGUCCUUCCACGGAUUCCGUGCCGUAGCUAACGCAUUAAGCGCCCCGCCUGGG